GUCACUGUGGCGCAACUGGUUAGCGCAUUAGACUGUUAAUCUAAAGGUUGGUGGUUCGAGCUCACCCAGGGUCGAGAUU